CCUGUCCGUGUGUGUGGCUCAGCCUGGGCUCCGCGGCCUCCCCUUGCACCGGACGUGGACCCAGGCUGCCGUUGGGCAAGAUAGAGGACUGAGCCAAGGCACAAACGGCUGGCCAGGGAAACUGCUCCCUGGGCGCCUGGAGGUCCAUAUUGAGAGCGUCCUGCCAGCCAUGAGAGAUCACCUUCCCCUGAUGCAGAGGCAGACCUCUCCCCCUUGAGGCCCAGUGGACACCUGGCUCAGGUCCCAACUGUGUGCCCUGGACACACAGAGCCCCAGAUCUCUGGCACAGACUGGGGUGUGGUUGUGUCGGGGCAGAAAAGGCCCAGGCUGCUUAUGUACGUUUGGAGGGCCAGGUUCAAAGACUCUGCAUCCAUCCAGGACAAUAGCAUCAAGAGAAGAACAGACAGAGCAGAAGGAGAUCUGGGGUUUCCCCCAGGAAUGAGGUGGAACAGGGAUUUCUGCAGAUUUGCAAGGCGUCCCCUACCACUGAGCAUGGGGUUACAACCCCACGUGACUACCGUCGUGUUUGGCUUGGGCUCUGGAUCUGGCCUGCUCAUUUAUUCUUCCAGCUGAGUUCCAGAAACUCAGAGGGUGGACUUUGAGGGGCUGCGUUUGGAACCUAGUGAGGAGCUGGAUGGUCCUUUAUAUUGAGUCCCUUCAGCCUAAUCACCGUAGCUGAAUCCCAACACCCCCCAGGCACCCAGGGUGGCUGUGGAGGGAGAGAAAGCCUGGCAGGCGACCUAGGGGUCCCACUGCUCUGUCCCUCCCUUGUCUUCAUUCCCUUUCACCCCAGAAGGUGUGAUUGUCUCGUGUCAUGGUGGCCGCCGUAGUGUCCCUCCCAGCAAUCUCUCUUCUCCAUCAGGUGGGGUUCCCAACCCCACUCAGCCUUCUCUCUGCAUGGAUGCUGAAGGACCAGGACCACCUGAAUUUCUGAGCUUGAGCAGUAAGGUGGAAAAAAAGAAACCAAUGGAAACAAAGAAACAAGUUAUUGUGGCAAAACUGCCCACCACAGAGAAGCUGCCCUGAGUGGAAGGGAGGGUGUGGGCAUGCCCAUUUGUUUCCUGUCUCCCAGUGCUCUUAGCUUUCUUAUUGCAGACCUGCAUGGUUACAACAAAAUGAUCUGCAAAACUGAAAAUAUUUACUCUCUCGCUUUUACAGA